UACGUAGGGUGCAAGCGUUAAUCGGAAUUACUGGGCGUAAAGCGUGCGCAGGCGGUUAUGUAAGACAGAUGUGAAAUGCCCGGGCUUAACCUGGGAACUGCAUUUGUGACUGCAUGGCUAGAGUGUGUCAGAGGGGGGUAGAAUUCCACGUGUAGCAGUGAAAUGCGUAGAUAUGUGGAGGAAUACCGAUGGCGAAGGCAGCCCCCUGGGUCAAGAUUGACGCUCAUGCACGAAAGCGUGGGGAGCAAACAGG
rnacentral:rRNA from 1 species